rnacentral:rRNA from 1 species
AGCGAACGCUGGCGGCAGGCCUAACACAUGCAAGUCGAACGGACCCUUCGGGGUUAGUGGCGGACGGGUGAGUAACACGUGGGAACGUGCCUUUAGGUUCGGAAUAGCUCCUGGAAACGGGUGGUAAUGCCGAAUGUGCCCUUCGGGGGAAAGAUUUAUCGCCUUUAGAGCGGCCCGCGUCUGAUUAGCUAGUUGGUGGGGUAAUGGCCCACCAAGGCUACGAUCAGUAGCUGGUCUGAGAGGAUGACCAGCCACAUUGGGACUGAGACACGGCCCAAACUCCUACGGGAGGCAGCAGUGGGGAAUCUUGCGCAAUGGGCGAAAGCCUGACGCAGCCAUGCCGCGUGUAUGANGAAGGUCUUAGGAUUGUAAAAUACUUUCACCGGUGAAGAUAA